rnacentral:rRNA from 1 species
GACGCGAGCUGUCCGCCUCCUACGAUGUCGCGAGAAGUCCACUGAACCUUAUCAUUUAGAGGAAUGAGAAGUCAUAACAAGGUUUCCGUAGGUGAACCUGCGGAAGGAUCAUUG